rnacentral:rRNA from 1 species
CGCUUGACAUGAUUCGAAUCGUCACCUCCCCAGAUAGACUGGCUAUCUNGAACGCUGGAGGAGUGCUUAACACAUGCAAGUCGAACGGUAAGGCCCUUCUUGGGCACACGAGUGGCGAACGGGUGAGUAACACGUGAGUAACCUGCCCCGGACUCUGGGAUAAGCAUUCGAAAGGGUGUCUAAUACUGGAUAGGACUCCUGCCUGCAUGGGUGGGGGUGGAAAGAUUUUUUGGUUCGGGAUGGGCUCGCGGCCUAUCAGCUUGUUGGUGGGGUGAUGGCCUACCAAGGCGUCGACGGGUAGCCGGCCUGAGAGGGCGACCGGCCACACUGGGACUGAGAUACGGCCCAAACUCCUACGGGAGGCAGCAGUGGGGAAUAUUGCGCAAUGGGCGGAAGCCUGACGCANCAACGCCGCGUGCGGGAUGACGGCCUUCGGGUUGUAAACCGCUUUCACCCAUGACGAAAAUUUUUUUGACGGUNGUGGGAGAAGAAGCACCGGCCAACUACGUGCCAGCAGCCGCGGUGAUACGUAAGGUGCGAGCGUUGUCCGGAAUUAUUG